UACGUAGGGGGCAAGCGUUGUCCGGAAUCAUUGGGCGUAAAGCGCGUGUAGGCGGUCCGGUAAGUCCGCUGUGAAAGUCGGGGGCUCAACCCUCGGAUGCCGGUGGAUACUGUCGGGCUUGAGUACGGAAGAGGCGAGUGGAAUUCCUGGUGUAGCGGUGAAAUGCGCAGAUAUCAGGAGGAACACCAAUUGCGAAGGCGGCAUCCUGGACCAACACUGACGCUGAGGAGCGAAAGCCAGGGGAGCAAACGGG
rnacentral:rRNA from 1 species